GACGAACGCUGGCGGCGUGCUUAACACAUGCAAGUCGAACGAAGAGCGAUGGAAGCUUGCUUCUAUCAAUCUUAGUGGCGAACGGGUGAGUAACGCGUAAUCAACCUGCCCUUCAGAGGGGGACAACAGUUGGAAACGACUGCUAAUACCGCAUACGAUCUAACCUCGGCAUCGAGGAAAGAUGAAAGGUGGCCUCUAUGUAUAAGCUAUCACUGAAGGAGGGGAUUGCGUCUGAUUAGCUAGUUGGAGGGGUAGCGGCCCACCAAGGCGAUGAUCAGUAGCCGGUCUGAGAGGAUGAACGGCCACAUUGGGACUGAGACACGGCCCAGACUCCUACGGGAGGCAGCAGUGGGGAAUCUUCCGCAAUGGACGAAAGUCUGACGGAGCAACGCCGCGUGAGUGAUGACGGCCUUCGGGUUGUAAAGCUCUGUUAAUCGGGACGAAAGGCCUUCUUGCGAAUAGUGAGAAGGAUUGACGGUACCGGAAUAGAAAGCCACGGCUAACUACGUG
rnacentral:rRNA from 1 species